AUUGAACGCUGGCGGCAGGCCUAACACAUGCAAGUCGAGCGGUAGCACAGAGAGCUUGCUCUCGGGUGACGAGCGGCGGACGGGUGAGUAAUGUCUGGGAAACUGCCUGAUGGAGGGGGAUAACUACUGGAAACGGUAGCUAAUACCGCAUAAUGUCGCAAGACCAAAGAGGGGGACCUUCGGGCCCCUUGCCAUCAGAUGUGCCCAGAUGGGAUUAGCUAGUAGGUGGGGUAACGGCUCACCUAGGCGACGAGCCCUAGCUGGUCUGAGAGGAUGACCAGCCACACUGGAACUGAGACACGGUCCAGACUCCUACGGGAGGCAGCAGUGGGGAAUAUUGCACAAUGGGCGCAAGCCUGAUGCAGCCAUGCCGCGUGUAUGAAGAAGGCCUUCGGGUUGUAAAGUACUUUCAGCGGGGAGGAAGGUGUUGUGGUUAAUAACCACAGCAAUUGACGUUACCCGCAGAAGAAGCACCGGCUAACUCCGUGCCAGCCGCCGCAGUAAUAC
rnacentral:rRNA from 1 species